GACUGCAUGGGGUGGGCCCCUGCCCUUUUCAGGGAGGGAAUGUAAGCAGAUCCCCAAAGAAACUGCCUGGCUCAGCAAUUUAGGGGCUUGUUGUGACUGGCCUGGCCUAAAAGAAUUCAGCAAGCUGCACCUUUGCCAAGGAAAAUGCAAACGCUUCCCCGAAACAAGCGUUGAGGGUGAUGGGCUCAUCUGUGAACCCAAGCAGGAAAAGCAAGGCAGACAGAACAUUCAGGAAAUCGGAGAGGCUCCUUAGAGAUGGUUUUCUCACUGAGCCAUGGGCGGAGGCCACAUGAGCUGAUGAGGUGAUAUCCGGCAGGGUGAGCGGGGUACAGAGUGGGAGGAGCUCGGGCGGACGGCUUCCUCCGUCCACCCUGAACCUCCUGAUCUCCCUGAGGAGCAGAGCCCCAUUUCUUACCUAGUCCAGCUCCUCCCUGGUGCCCCAGUGGUCCUCUGCUGGGCUCAUCAUCUGUCACCUUGCCCUGGACCCUGAGCAGUUGCCAGGGGUGCUCUCAGCUCUUCUGAGGCCAGGAAGAACCCUGCCAUGACCUGACUCCGCCUGCUUCUGGUGGCCCCUCGCAUCUCUUUUUUUGUUAAAAAUGUAAAAAGAGCACAGACCGUAUUUUGUACAUCAUCUUAUGGCUCAAACAGUACAGAAUCUGCCUGCAAUGCAGAAGACCCAGGUUCGAUCCCUGGGUCAGGAAGAUUCCCUGAAGAAAGGAAUGGCAAUCCACUUCAGUAUUCUUGCCUAGAGAAUUCCGUGGACGGAGGAACCUGGUGGGAAGCAGGGAGUUGCCAGGACUCCAAAAGGCCAGGUGUCAACACUGAUGCGAGUCCAGGAGCCUGGACCAUCCUCCUCUCCCCAGAUGGCAGACAUCACGCCCCUCUCCCCAGAAGAGCCUCAUGGGAAUAUCCGACUUCAUGAUCCAUUAGGGCCAGUGAGGGAAUUGGACAUGAAACAGAGGCAAGUGGUGGCCAAUCACCAGGUCCACACAGAGCAUAAACUGUGCAAGCUCAUGACUCAUGCCAUACUCACCUGGACCAGAGACCCCCAGACACUGGGAACUCUGUCUCCCCAGACUGUUUCUCUGGUCAAUUACGGAGGACCUCGACCCUGCAGCUCACGCUGGGACUGUUAUUUGUGGCUGGAACGGGUCUCCACAGCCCCGGGCAGGGGCACGCCCCUGGGGUGUGUGCACACCUCUCCCUGCUCCUCUGGGAGGCCCUGGCCUGGCUGGGUACCGCCUUGCCAUGCCCUGCAUCUUCCACAAGGGGGAGCCCCCGGAGGGCAGCGGAAUUUGGGAAGCGCUGAAGUUUUCUCCUCCUGUCCUCUAGCUGAUUUUCCCCGAACCCAACUGUUAGAUUCCUUUGUUGUAAUGUAGGGGCCUGAGCUGACACUUCUGGAGGCUGCGGGUG
ensembl:lncRNA